UUCACAGUGUCUAUAGGCAUGUGCAAGAUUUUGUCAUGGGAAAAUGUUCUCUUAUUCCUAUUCUGCUAAAACAAAUAUACCUCCUUAAACUUCACACCCGGUGAGCAGACACACUGAAGUCAAUGGACAUACCUCGUGUAUGUAAAGUUAAGCACUUAUAGGAACCCAGCAUGUAUCCUACUGAACUGAAACUGAGGUCCAUCUAGUCUAGAAUCCUGUCUCAGACAUUAACCAACACCAGAUGCUCCAAGGAAGAUGUUAGAACUCCUCACGAGGUAGAUAUGAGAUAAUCUGCCCCCCCACAUUAGAUCUCAUCGUGAUCUCUAAGAGUUAGAUUGGUUUUAGCUCUGAAUCAUGAUAUUUAAUAUCCCUUCCAAAAACCUUUAGCAUUUGUUAUUAGAAUUCUGGAUAUUCUUGAUAUCUAUAUAGAAGUCCAAUCCCCUUUUUUAUUCUUGCUAAAUUUCUUGGCUUCAGUAUGCUGUGGCAAUGAGUUCUAUAGUCUAAUUGUGUGGUGGUGUUGUUUUUAAAAUCAGCUUUGAAUUUGCCACUUUUUAAUAAGGUACGUAAGUCUUUGCAGGAUUGGGACUGUGGAUGGCUGACUUAGAGCUGCACAAAGGAAGCCAAUUGAAUCACACAGCAAAAAGAAAUCUUACUGUGCUAUAAACCACUGGAACUAUGCUAAAUAUUCUGGACUGCCAUCUAACUAUUUUUACAUAUAUACAGACAGCUCCAUUAACAGAGUCUUCUAUUUUAAAUGUAUUCCCACCAUGGGUUGCUGUUAUAGGGCCCAAUCCUGUUCCCAUUGAAGAAUGAGUCAUGUCUUUGACUUCAGGGACAGGAUAGACACAUGGGUAAGAAUAAUUAAAAAGAGAAAUACUCAGGGCUUGUCUACACUUACAGGGUGAUCGAUGCAUGAAGACCUGCUAAAUCGACCACAAAUCACUCUUCCAUCGACUCCUGUACUCCAUCUGAACAAGAAGCGCAAGGAGAGUCGAUAGGAGAGCAUCUCCCAUCGACAGAGUGUAGUGUGGAUCCCACGUGACUGGAACAGCUGGCCACCAGCAAUGCCAACAUACCACAGCUAUGCCGGGCAUAAUCCUGCAACCCUUACUCAUAUGUUACCAGAAGAAAUGCUGAUUAAAGGUGCCUUUUGUUCAGUACAUGAUUUGAAAGUUUGCUUUAAUUAGAAUGAAAUCCUGAUGAAUCAUGAGUUCUGCCUGCCUCUGAGAUGCAGAAUCCAGCUUUGGCAGCAAACAUCCAGGAAUAGAGUUCUGGCCUCCCUGAUCUUCUGGGCCAGCUGCAAGGAGAAGCCAGCAAUGAAGUCAUAGCUACUGGCCAAAGAGGAGAAGAGAGAGAGAUCAGCUCAAUUUGGAGCAGACAGUAUUCCAAACCUUGCUUUGUUCAUGUUUCAGAGGCAGACACCAAGGCAGAACCUCAGAAUGGGGGAGAAGCCAGGCAAACACUGCCUGCCAUUCUCUGGAGUGAGCUGACCCUUGCUGGCCAGGGUGAUACAGCACCAGUGGAGAAGCCUGAGUGGAGAGAGGGCACUGGGGCCAUCAGAACAGAGACAGGCAAGGCUAAUAAUUACCACAGAGGGAAGCGACCAUGGAAGCUAUAAAUCUGAAUUGUACUUAUGCCUGAGGAAGUAAAUAUAUCUAUUGGCCUUUGACUGCAGUCUGGAUAAUGUCAACCAGGAGGCAAGGCAUCUGGAAUUGCUUUGUUGCAAGAACAGUCUUUUGGUUAAAGAGAGUCAGGCCUAAAGCGUCCUCAAGACCCAUGUCACUAAUGGUGAUGAACGCAACCAGCAAUGGGGUGACUAGAGAAACUCACUGACAAACUGGGAAAGUAUCAAAGAGCACUAAGUGAAUGAGUCCCAGGACAGGAGAAAGCAGCACUCCUCAAGAUGCAAAAAGUUUUUAACUUAUGUAUUUUAAGUAAAUAAAGUGGCAGCACCAAAGAGACACCCAUCAAUAUAAUGUCUCACACACAGACCUCCAUGUACCCGUGCCUGUUUUCCAAUGCUGAGGGCCCAGUCCAACUCUCAAUAAACACGAAUAUAAAUUUGGAGUAACUCUCCUGACUUCAGUGGUGUCACUCUGGGUGAAAAUGGAAUUGAACCCAAGAAGCUACAUUCAACCCUUGGGGUGUAAGUUGGUGCAAGUUAUGGCAAGGUUUCAGUCUGGGCCUACCUGAGAUCAAGGAGAGUCUACUUCAUCAGAAGGGUUCAUUGGGAAAUGUUUGAGUUAGCCCAUGACCAUCGGUUUUACAAGUCAGCUCUAUCACAAGCAAAGACUGAGAUGAAAAUACAUCUGAGAUGGCUUGAUUCGCUCUUAAGUAGGAAAAAAAAUGGAAAAGCACCCAAAAAGGAUUCCCAGUCUGAACUAAAGGCCCUGGGACAGGGGACCCUUGAUGUUGAAAUAUGAACGAUGUGCAGAGUAAGAAAAGCUAUGCUGAUGUUCAUGGAAGACUCAACUUUCUGAAUACAAAUGAUCUUCUCUUCUUUCUGGAAGUAUACAACAGAUUACAGUGGGCAGGAUUGUGCCCUUACAUAUACCCUGUGCCCUUACAUAUGCCCACUGGCUUUAAUGGGGUUGCAUGGGGCAAAAGUAAAGGCAGAACUUUGGUUUCUUUAUCUUUACAGCUUGUCAUCUCUCCAUCAUCGCUGAUUAUACAUAGCACCAGCAUGGCCAUAGAAGGAAAGAGAGGCACAAUUAGAAAGAAAUCCUAGUUAUGUGCUCCCAAAUUACCUAUUAAAACCAGGUCAGGACGGUUUUCUUGUUUGUUCUCCACAUGGAAAAUAAGUAACGAGAGUGAAUCCAGUAAUCAGGAACUGUGUCCUGCAGCCCACUAUUGUUAGCUUACUGGUCUUAUUAUUCUUUUCUUUUGGAUAUAUGGCAAUGCUGUAGGACUGAAAUUCACCCCUGUGCAGAAGACCAGCCCCAGGCCUACACACUGCUUCAGGCCUCGGAGAUUAGGGCCUUAAUGGAGCACAGAGCUUAUACAGGAGUGAAUGUCAUCCUAACUCAGGGUUUCCUAAAGUGUGGGAAGGGCUGCCCCAUUGGGCAAGAAGUUACAAAGGUGCAGAAAAUGUGUAAAUGACAGUGCAUAGGCAGAUUUUAACAACACACAGUGGGUGGAGGUUGGGGGUGUGUGUCAUUUUCAUUUCCUGGAAAGGGUGCUCAGCUUCCAAAGUUUGGGAAAUGUCCAGAGCAAAGACUUUGGCUGUUUACGUGUGUGAGACAGGCAAACAGCAACCAUCACCUGAGACAUUUAGCACAAUUCUGGCUAGCUUGGCUGAGUAAGGGGACUUCCUCAUUUUAUAGUGCAUGGAAUCCACCUUGCACCUUGAUCUAAUUUACCUGUGCCAUGCUCAGAUACUAUAGUGGAGGGGGCUAGAGAAAAGCAAUAGACAAAUAAAGGGCCCUGCUCUUGAGUCUUUGCUAUGGUACUGGGCAUAAAUCACAAACAGAGUUCCGGGCUCAGUUAAACCACGUCAUUUGAAUUCAAUGGGGUUUAAAAUGGCAUGGUAUAUGGCUCAGAUUAUUCAGCCAACCAUUCUGCUACAUGAUUACCUCUAUUCAACUCUUGGGUCAGUAUAGAUAUUGUAAACCUGGUCUGUGGGACUGGGUGUUUCAAAGCCUGUGCUUAAGCAUCCACACUGCACUGUAAACCUGGGCUUACAACUGCUGGACCCGGGUCUCUCAGCCAUGCUAACACGUCCAUACUGCACUAUGCAGAUCUUCUGACCUGGCUCCGCAGCUUGAGCUGCAUCCCUACCAGGUGCUUAGUGACCCACAUCAGGCUGAUUUGUUUGGACAGAAGAGGGGCUGAAGCUCAAACCUGAGUGAGAGCCUGUGUGUGUGUGUGUGUGUGUGCGCGCGCAGAUUAGGCAUACCCCAAGUUAGCUGGCCCUAAAUUAGAGAAACCCAGCAACAAAAGAUCCUACAGCACUUUGAAAAUAUAUAUAUAUAGUUUGAUUGGAUAGGGUUGAUUGCACUAGUGAAAUGCAUGUGCCUCUGGGGUACAAAGUGACUGAUGAUUAGUAGACAAAAUGUGAAGAAUACACCGUCCAGUUGGAACCCCAGGGCAAAUUGCAAGUAUAAUUCUCCAAAUGGAAUUUGUCCAGCUGAGUACUCAGAGUAGAUAAGAUAUUGCCAUUCUGGAAGACCAACCCUAUCACAUUUGUUUUUCACAACACCAAGAUGAGUUAUUGGAGCACUGGAGGUUGCAAGCCCAGAAAGCCUGCUGAAUUUUGUUUGCCUUAGAUUGUUGAUUCAAACAGAUACAGGGGGAUACUGAAAUGUGAACUCUUUGUAAUUUUCCAUAAUCUUAUCUGAAGACAUCAAAGUGACCUAGAUAUUCAUCAGGUGGUUACACUAAAAGCCACAAAAAUAAUUUAACAGCAUUACUUUAUGAAGUUGCAGCCUUGGGGGAGCAAUGCGAGUUUCCUGGGUGUUGUGGGUGACCCCAUUUGUCAAGAAGGGGCAGCAAAGAAAACUGAGUGCUCCACUCACCCCUUUUGAAAAGCUAAAGAGAUGUCAUCAAUUUACCAUUCACCCUUCUGCCUAAACAUUUUUUACCCACUAUUGUUACAAGGAACAUCUAAGACUGCUACACUGAAAGAGAUUUGAGGAGAAAAAAGUAUUUUUCUCAAUCUUUUUCAGUUUUCUUCCUUUGUACACGAGACAGCAUUUCGCAUGUAGUCAAUUUCAUGGUUUCCCCUGUGUUGUUACUGUUUUUUUUUUGCUCUAGUUUGUGUGGGUUUUUUGCAGGGCUAAACAGUGAAACAUUUUAAAAAUAGGAAAAUGUGUUUGUAAAUCCACAAAAGUUGGCAGGGCGAGACGGGGUGGGGCUAGCAUCUGCACCUGUUUUUAGUUUGUUUCUUCAAAAUGAUUAGCUUUCAGCUUGAGAGUCUCUCUUUAAAAUAAUGGAAAUAUUCUAAAAAGGCAAAUUUUCUGUUAUAUGCAGUUUAAAGACUUCUUACUGAAAGUGAACUUAGAGAAAAAUCUCAUCCCAAGUUGCCUCUUCGAACCCCUACUUACUGGCUGGAAGUGCAUGGAAGGGUUGAUCAAGAUAUUAUUCUAGACCUUAAAAACUGCUGAUCUGGCCAAAAACUGAACAAAAAUGGUACAAUGGAAGCAGGACAUGCAAAUUCAGCUCACAGAGAACUUGAAGGGAAAAUUAUACAUGCUGGAAGCUACAGAUGAGUCCAUCCUAAAUAACAACAUGAGACAGACAUAUGUGGAGUUCCUAGGAGCUUUGCAUCUCUUUCACUAUAACACCGGCUGCACUCAAGUGUAGAGCUCCAACUCCUGCCAGGAGAUACCAUCUUUGUGCUGGUCCAUCUGCGCUUGUCCUUAGAUGGCCCUGAUUUGGAAUGUAGUUUGUGAGACUUUUAGGACCACUUUCAAAGUUCCUGAGACACACAACUUUGUCAUCGGGAUAUAAAACUGGAUCCACCAGUGUCCAGACCUGCUGGAAGAAAGUACUGCACUUUAAUUAGUCCUCACCAAAUAAUGUAUUUUGUGCAUAUGUCGUGGACUAGUAAACUUCCUUGAGUGACAGGUUUCCUUUCCAAUAUGUUACAUGACAAUUAUCAGGUGCUAUUUGCUUUUUGUCAUUCAUGUUUUUAUACAGUCCUGAAAAGCCAAGAAUGAGCUAUCUCUUUUUUAAAGCUACGAGCAGUUUUAAAGAUAUGUGCAGAUAAGAUUAUGGCAGAAGAGAGACAUGGCCACCCAGGUGUAAGCUAGCAUGAGUUAAAGCCAUCUGCCGUACAGAUGUGUGCUGCAGUUGUCGUACAAUGACCUACUGGAAGCUCAGAUUGUGAUUAUAUCACAUUUUGCUUAGCUACAAUUUAAAUGAGAACAAGAAUUAUAGCAAUGGUUCCAUUAAAAAUAGUUCAGACUUUUCAGGUGUCCCCAGACCUACAAAUGUGGUUUUAGUUUAUCUGAUUGUAAAAGACUUUACAUAUAGGCCGAUAAUUGAUCACACCACCUAUAAUAGUUUGUUUGGUUGGAGCAGCUGACUAGAUUGUGCUGUUACCUGUUGGACAUUUUGAAGCUUCAGCUCAGGCUGACAAAUCCUUGCAGGAAGAGCGGUGGUCAAUACCACUCUGAUCACACAAGCCCUUUGGGUAGUUUUCAUACAUUUUUCCUCCCCAGAAAAUAUAAGCUUCUCCAUGCACUUUAGCAAGACAAUGACCCACAAGCCUGGGGGUGGAAUAACGUCACUGCUGUAAGGCCCUAUGAAAUCUUAAAGCUUUUACCUAAUUAUUUAAUCAGGAAACACACGGGGGGGUGGGACUAAGAACAAACCCUAACGAUUCCUACUAUGUGAUUUCAUAGAUUAUAACACUGGAAAGGACCUCCUGCAUAACACAUGCUACAGGACUUGCCCAAAUUAAUUCCUGUUUGAGCUACAGCAUAUCUUUUAGAAAAUCAUCUGAUCUUGGUUUUAAAAUGUCGAGUGAUGGAAAAUCCACCACAGAUCUUGCUCACAGGAGUUGCUGGAAAAUCUGAUCUUGAUUGUUUCCACAAAAAGAAGAAAAAGGAAGAAAGGCAGUGAGAGAAAACUCCACUCACUAAACACUUAGGGAAAGUGUGAAGUAAAUAAACUACUUUCUUGUUAAGAAA